rnacentral:rRNA from 1 species
UACGUAGGGUGCGAGCGUUAAUCGGAAUUACUGGGCGUAAAGCGUGCGCAGGCGGUUUUGUAAGCCAGAUGUGAAAUCCCCGGGCUUAACCUGGGAAUGGCAUUUGGGACUGCAAGGCUGGAGUUUGGCAGAGGAGACUGGAAUUCCUGGUGUAGCAGUGAAAUGCGUAGAUAUCAGGAGGAACACCGGUGGCGAAGGCGGCUCACUGGCCCGUUACCGACGCUCGAGGCGCGACAGCGUGGGAGCAAACAGG